AAUGAAAUCCUAAAAAAUAAAAAACCCCGCUAUCUUUUUCUUCUUUCCCUCUUUCCCUAAUUAUCGACGAUGCUUCCUUUCCCUCUAGUCUCAGUCGCUAUCUAGGGUUUUUAUUGAAAGCUUGAAUCGAUCGACUGAGGUAACCAAAGGUCAAGCGAACCGGGAAAGGGUUUUCAGUGAAAUCUACUAUUACUCUUUGAAAUCGGAUCCAAUCCCAAAAUUUAGAACGCCCGCCUCUUCCAAUUAGCAAGAAAAAGCCCUAGCCUUCGUGUUCAUAACAAAAUUGCUCUUGCUUUCGUGAUCAAAUGCCUCGCGACGACGAUGAGAUAGUGUGAGAUCUAUGAGAGAUCCAAUCCAGAGCAUGCCUGUGAUUGUGUGGCCAUCCUCGGUCAACUCACACACUUUGAAACCCUAAUAUCAUAUCAUGUCCGCCACCAGCUAGCAUCAUUUACAUGUUGAAACCCUAUUCACAUAUGGAAAUAGAAUCAUCCUGAUACCCUCGUCCUCAAGCUCUUUUAACCCUUCAUUCUUCUUCCAGUGGAGUUAUUUUGCAAACUAGCAGCUCCCGCCGCUACACCACCACUAGCCCCAAAAUCGUUGCCAUCCAUAUCUGUUCCAUCCCCAAGUUCGAUCUCUACAUCAAUUGCUUUAUCACAUGCACCUGUCGUUGGAAUCCCACCUGUGGUACUGGCGAUUCCACCUCUGGCUCCCACGAUUCCCCCAACUUCAUUAUCGACUGGUGGUGCUCCACCUGCGGAAGUUUAAUCACACUAACUUUCUCCAGUCUGCAAUUCCAAUCACAAUAUCUAGGGUUAACCAGGUGCAUGCAGGGAGGCUCGAAAUUGAAAUGUCAGCCAUGCUCAAAGAGAAAAUGGUUAAAGUUUUCUCUGUUAUGAAGCCAGGAUUAUUAUUUCAAUACGAAGCAGAACUUGAAGUUUUGCGAUUGGAGCCCUAGUCAAUGUAGUUGACCAUCUUGGCACUGUUUCUUACAAACUCACUAACCUUCUUGACCAAUAGAGUUCAGAAAUUUCCUACACCAGUAACACCUUCCCCACGGUAAUCAUCUCUUCAUCAACCGCCUUCAGUUUCUGUUCAGUCGGUGAUUAGGUCUUUUGUUAGUUGCUCUUAAAUUGUAGGUUACCCUUCUUUGUCAAGGUUCAGAAGUUUGUUCUGAAAAUACAUCAGUAGCAACGCUUGGCAUAAUCAAUAUGGAUCCAAACCGAGUUUUUGACAUUGUAUUGGAGUAUUUCGAACUUCAGUCGGAUAACAAUGUCUUCUUGAAACUCAUCCUUAUUUUCCCGAAGGUACAACACUUAAAUAUGCCCGAUUAAUGACUGAAAGGCUAUUACAAGGGUGGAUGAUUCACAAUAUGUUUUCUCAAGGGAUGAGAUCUAUAAAAUAAUUGCAAUCAUUGGGCAUGUUUGCUUGGUGUUGGAAUUUAAGAUUACAUUCCAUGGCUGGCGUGUUUGGUUGCCUUGCCAAAAUGGAUGGAAUUUGAUCCCAUAGGUAUAGAAUCAUUUAAAUUUCAUGUUUGAUGGAUUUUAGUUUUCAACAUUCCUUGGUGUGAGUAGAUUACCUUUGCACUUGUGUAUGUUGGAACAACUUCACUCAAACAUUUAUAUUUAAUUUAUAUAACCAUGUGCUUACUUAGUUAUAUACUUAUGUGGUUAUCAGUCGAUUACCUUUGCACUUGUGUAUGUUGGAACAACUUUGAAGGACUUGGCCGUUGUUACUCAUGAAUGGAGUUAAUUCUCAAAAACUCGCC